rnacentral:rRNA from 1 species
AAUGAACGUUGGCGGCGUGGAUUAGGCAUGCAAGUCGCGCGACAAGGAACCUUCGGGUUCUGGAGGAGCGGCAAACGGGGUAGUAAGGCAUCGGAACGUACCCUCUUGUUGGGAAUAGCCGCGGGAAACUGCGAGUAAUGCCCAAUAAUCCCUACGGGGCAAAGGUCCGCCGCAGGAGGAGCGGCCGAUGUGAUACCAGCUAGUUGGUGAGGUAAUGGCUCACCAAGGCUUAGACGUCUAGGGGGUGUGAGAGCAUGGCCCCCACCACUGGGACUGAGAUACUGCCCACGACACCUACGGGUGGCUGCAGUCGAGAAUCUUCGGCAAUGGGCGCAAGCCUGACCGAGCAACGCCGCGUGCGGGAGUGAAGG